AAAUAUUCUGCGGGUGCAGCAAAUAUUCUGCGGGUGCAGCAAAUAUUCUGCGGGUGCAGCACGCCGUCUGCCUGGCUCACGCACUAAACUUGAUUGUCAAAAAGGCCAUGGAUGCUACUCCUGGGCUAGAUAAUAUAAGAUCAAAAACGAGGCGGAUGAUCACCUAUUUUAAAUCCAGCACCACCGCUAAAGAGAAGCUGCAGCAGAUCCAGGUGCAAAUGGGCCGUCCUGUCACAAAACUAAUAAUUGAAGUAGACACAAGAUGGAAUAGCACCUAUGAGACGCUGCAGCGUCUUUAUGAGCAGAGGGAUGCAGCUGCCGCUGCUCUGACCACUCUGCCCACAGCUUUGGACCUAUUGACUGCAGAUGACUUUGAGUGUGCAUCUGAGUGUAGGAAGAUACCGUCACCUUUUCAUGCUGCCGCCGUAGAGCUCUCACAUGAAACGAGGUGUCGGGAUCAAAAAUAACACCCCUGAUAAAAAUGCUGAAGCAUGCUUUGAGUGAGCUGAUGGCACAGAACUCAAACAAAAUGGCAAAAGACCUUGGCAUAAACCUCAAUAGAAUUAUGAAUGAAACUCAGUGGGAUAGAAACCACAAGCAUCUUCUCUUUAUCAUCAUUACUUGACCCAAGAUUUAAAACACUCGGAUUCCAAAGCCCUUCAAAUGCCGAGUCAGCUGUGCACCGGUUAAAAUCAGAGUGUGCGGCAUUGUUGCGUAAUGCACCCACCCAAGAGGACCCACCAUCCACUUCAACAGCACAGCCAGAACCAGCUGCUUCUUCCCAAGUCAUUGGUCUGUGGAAGCUGUUGGACAGGGAUGCUGAAGAAGCAAGAGCGUCCAGGAAUGCCACCGCUGAUGCCAUAGUGGAGGUGCAGCGUUAUCUGUCAGCCCCUCCACUUGAACGAUCACAGGACCCUCUGGUGUACUGGACGACAAACAAAGCCCUGUACCCAAACCUGUACCACCUGGCAAACCAGUACCUCGCAACACCAGCAUCCUCUGUGCCCUGCGAGAGGGUGUUUUCUAAAGCCGGGGAAAUAGUUUCAAAAAAGAGAAACCGCCUCAAACCCUCGACUGGAGAAACUGUUGUUUUUAAAUAAAAAUGCAUAAGCACACCAGUUCACCCAAGCACCUUAGGCCCAUACCCCCAUCUGUUCCUAAAAUAUAUAGAAAAAUAAUAUUAUAAUAAUAAUACAACAUCAAAAGUGCACAAACAGCAAAACUCAAAGUGCACGCUUGCUG
rnacentral:lncRNA from 1 species